CCGACGUCUCGGAAACAGUGCUAGUUUUUGUCGAUCAAGUGUCACAAACUGUCAAAAUUUCUUAUUAUUUUCCUAAUAAUAUAUUAAUCCAGCCAAAAAUUAGCUGUGAAAGCGGAGGCAUAAAGUGUACCCAAUCUUUAUUACGUUAUUAAAUAAAUAGAAAUCAUGUUUUUCUUUUUGAGUGUAUCCUCAAAACGUAUCCUCUAAACAUGGAUGAUAUGAUUCUCAACGAUAAAACAUUAAUCGACCAGACAUUAACUAGUGGCUGACGAGCUAAUAACUCGGGACUGACCAGCCUAUAACUAGCAGCUGACCAGCUCAUAACUAGCGGCUGACCAGUCUAUGUCUAGCGACUGACCAGCCCCUGUCUAGCAGCUGACCAGACAGUCUGGCCUGGGGCUACCCAGAAAAAACGUUACACUUUUGGCCAGGCCCAGGCCAUACCAUCUGUUCAGCGCCAGGACUGGAAACCUGGCGGUAUGGUCUGGGCCAGGCCAGCGCCAGAACAUUUUUCCACACGGGGUGCACCAGGUCUCGCCCCAGGUAUCUUAGUUCUGAAUACAUACAUUUCCUCUCAAAUCUCUAAGAAGGAAACAUCAUAUGAAAUUAUUCAGAAAUGAUCUCAGACUAAUUAAUGAUUUGACAGACCACUGACUAUGGAAUUCAGAUAGUAUCAAUAACGUUGAUUGCUAUAUUUACUGUUGACUAAAAUCUGAGCUGUGGAAUCAAAAGCAUAACUGACGUCGCUCGUAGAGCAGCUGAUGAUAAGAACAUAGCAUAGGAUUCAUAGUGUGAGAGAUUCUGACAUGAGUGAGAAAUCGCCGAUGAUUCAAGGCAAUGACUCGCAUAACGAUUGGUUGUAAGCGAGAAUUCCUGGACGGUUAAACGCCGUUCCUUCGCUUGCUGCCGUCACUGGUGAGGUGAGGUCAUACGAAAACUUUAUGCUCCUACAGCAGACUCGAAGGAAAUAUUUCCUAUUAUUACUAUUACCUUAUUUAAGUUCCAGCAGUAAACAAGAAGAGUCUACAAAUUUUGAUGUUUCUCUUUCUAUCUUUUAAGAACCUUCGGGAUUUGUAAUUUUCAUGGAGUAAGCGUAGAUGAUAUAAUUUAUUACCGUGUUUAUUAAAACAUUUAUUGUUGUACUAUUGUUCCAUUUUGACCAAACAUCAGUCGUUUAAGAAAGGAAUAUGAUGAUUAAAACUUGAAGAGUAUAUUUUAAGGGUAUCAAGUGUCGUAUUCUAAUUUUAACAAUUAUAUAACUUGAAGCAUUCCAAAUGAUAGU